ACCACCAUGGCCUUUUCUGGAGUGAAUGUGGCACACCCACAGAGGGAGAGCCUCCGACGCACUCUUCCUCUGCCCCAACCUGUCUGUCCCCUUACUUGCUUUCCUGUCUCUAUCUGGCGUGGGAGUGACGUCUCCUCUCUUCACCGCAGGGUCCAGGGCGGCAGUUGCCAGCUGGUCUUUCCUGCCUCUGUAAUAUCAGGAUGAAGCCAUCGGAGCUGCGUCUCGGACAGGAUGGGACUUUCAUCUGUUAAUGCAUUUCAGCUUCCUGCAAGAUGGGGUCUUGGAUCUCUUGCCUGUGCUUUAAAAAAAUGCUCUAAGAAAUUUUGUUUCUUUUCUUCACUGAAAGCCAGGGGCAACUCCCAUGUUAUUUUUAACUUUUCAAAAAUAGGCUCAAACAAAAUGAAUAUAGGAAUGACGUGGAUGGAAAGAAAAUCGGUUUUGUGUGCUGCUUUGAGAGACAACCUACAAAUAUGUGAUGCCUUAUUUAAAAAAAGGGGGGGGGAGGAAAAUCAACCCCAGGUGGACCACGGUGAUCUAAUAUCUGACCUAUAUAUAUUUUCACACGACUCCAGCAGUGUCAUGUUGCAAGAAAGGUCUCUUGUCUUGCAUUAAAAAAAACUGUUGCUCAGCCGUAACAUUCAAAAAUUUGUCUUGGAUUAAUCAUCCUCUCCUGCAGCUCAGCUUACCUUAUAAGGCUGUUGUGAAUAAAAUGGAGAUGCCUUUC